AGUGAACGCUGGCGGUAGGCCUAACACAUGCAAGUCGAACGGCAGCACAGAGGAGCUUGCUCCUUGGGUGGCGAGUGGCGGACGGGUGAGGAAUACAUCGGAAUCUACUCUGUCGUGGGGGAUAACGUAGGGAAACUUACGCUAAUACCGCAUACGACCUACGGGUGAAAGCAGGGGACCUUCGGGCCUUGCGCGAUUGAAUGAGCCGAUGUCGGAUUAGCUAGUUGGCGGGGUAAAGGCCCACCAAGGCGACGAUCCGUAGCUGGUCUGAGAGGAUGAUCAGCCACACUGGAACUGAGACACGGUCCAGACUCCUACGGGAGGCAGCAGUGGGGAAUAUUGGACAAUGGGCGCAAGCCUGAUCCAGCCAUACCGCGUGGGUGAAGAAGGCCUUCGGGUUGUAAAGGCCUUUUGUUGGGAAAGAAAUCCAGCUGCUAAUACCCGGUUGGGAUGACGGUACCCAAAGAAUAAGCACCGGCUAACUUCGUGCCAGCCGCCGCGGUAA
rnacentral:rRNA from 1 species